AACGAACGCUGGCGGCAUGCCUAACACAUGCAAGUCGAACGAGACCUUCGGGUCUAGUGGCGCACGGUUGCGUAACGCGUGGGAACCUGCCCUUAGGUUCGGAAUAACUCCCCGAAAGGGGUGCUAAUACCGGAUAAUGUCUUCGGACCAAAGAUUUAUCGCCUUUGGAUGGGCCCGCGUUGGAUUAGCUAGUUGGUAGGGUAAAAGCCUACCAAGGCGACGAUCCAUAGCUGGUCUGAGAGGAUGAUCAGCCACACUGGGACUGAGACACGGCCCAGACUCCUACGGGAAGCAGCAGUGGGGAAUAUUGGACAAUGGGCGAAAGCCUGAUCCAGCAAUGCCGCGUGAGUGAUGAAGGCCUUAGGGUUGUAAAGCUCUUUUACCCGGGAUGAUAAUGACAGUACCGGGAGAAUAAGCUCCGGCUAACUCCGUG
rnacentral:rRNA from 1 species